rnacentral:rRNA from 1 species
CCUGGCUCAGGACGAACGCUGGCGGCGUGCCUAAUACAUGCAAGUCGAGCGAAGUUUUUCUGGUGCUUGCACUAGAAAAACUUAGCGGCGAACGGGUGAGUAACACGUAAAGAACCUGCCUCAUAGACUGGGACAACUAUUGGAAACGAUAGCUAAUACCGGAUAACAGCAUUAACUGCAUGGUUGAUGUUUAAAAGUUGGUUAUGCUAACACUAUGAGAUGGCUUUGCGGUGCAUUAGCUAGUUGGUGGGGUAAAGGCCUACCAAGGCGACGAUGCAUAGCCGACCUGAGAGGGUGAUCGGCCACACUGGGACUGAGACACGGCCCAGACUCCUACGG